rnacentral:rRNA from 1 species
CAGUCGCCACGGGAAUACGAAGGGGGCUAGCGUUGUUCGGAAUUACUGGGCGUAAAGGGCGCGUAGGCGGCCAUUCAAGUUAGAUGUGAAAGCCCUGGGCUCAACCUAGGAAUUGCAUUUGAUACUGUUUGGCUUGAGUGCGGUAGAGGGUAGUGGAAUUCCCGGUGUAGCAGUGAAAUGCGUAGAGAUCGGGAGGAACACCAGUGGCGAAGGCGGCUACCUGGACCAGCACUGACACUGAAGCACGAAAGCGUGGGGAGCAAACAGGAUUAGAUACCCCUGUAGUCCCUGUCUCUUAUAC